UACGUAGGGUGCAAGCGUUGUCCGGAAUUAUUGGGCGUAAAGAGCUCGUAGGCGGUCCGGUAAGUCCGCUGUGAAAGUCGGGGGCUCAACCCUCGAAUGCCGGUGGAUACUGUCGGGCUAGAGUGCGGAAGAGGCGAGUGGAAUUCCUGGUGUAGCGGUGAAAUGCGCAGAUAUCAGGAGGAACACCUAUUGCGAAGGCAGCUCGCUGGGACGUUACUGACGCUGAGACGCGAAAGCGUGGGGAGCAAACAGG
rnacentral:rRNA from 1 species